rnacentral:rRNA from 1 species
GUGGAUUAGAUACCCUGGUAGUCCACGCCCUAAACGAUGAACACUAGGUGUGGGUUGCAAAGCAAUCCGUGCCGCAGCUAACGCAAUAAGUGUUCCACCUGGGGAGUACGGCCGCAAGGUUGAAACUCAAAGGAAUUGACGGGAGCCCGCACAAGCAGUGGAGUAUGUGGUUUAAUUCGACGCAACGCGAAAAACCUUACCAAGGAUUGACAUCCAGAGGAGGCCGGGUAAUGCUGGCUGUGCCCUUCGGGGAACUCUGAGACAGGUAGUGCACGGUCGUCGUCAACU